UUCCGAAAAAGCCAGCCAAUCACUUUUGGAGAAAUGAGCGCAUUGCAGCAGAAUGCGCUGACGUCAGAGACCACCCCUUCUGCGCCUCCAUAUAAACCCCACCCAGCCAGCCCCUAGCGCAGACGGCGACGAGCUGGAUGGAGCGCGCCUUGGCUUGCUGGCCUGGGCCGCAGCUCCUCCGAAGAACCGGGGCGCCCACGCGAGAAUCUCCCCGCCAGGUUCUCUCUUCAGGGAUGACAUCACCAUUCACCUCCUUGUCUUCAAGGACCACCUGUCGAUGCCCAGCUGCUGCCAAGGUGCUUGCUGCUCAUCUUCACCUUAUGAAGACCUCAGGAGCGCCCAUUUUUGGAUCCCACCCGCAUACCAAGCAGCCACUGGCAGAGACCCCCCAGGACCAGGACCACGGAGGCUGAAGAGGACCAGAACUGACCAACCAGCUGUUCCUCUUGGCUAAAGACUUAAUCCAAUGCCCUAGUGAGGGGGCAUUGGACAUUAACCCCUGACCUUUGCUAUGCUUGUGCCUAUUGCUAUGAAUACUUUCCUGUAAGUCUCUGCUUGUGUUAAUAUGCCAGCGACCUGGAGUGUUUCCCUCCCCAAGAAGGUGUCAGUUUUUCUCAGCUGACCCUAUUGUUGCCCGGAUGAUGUCCUGAAUAGAAGGAUCCCUUUGGGAACUUCUCAGGAGGGGGACCUGGGCCAAGGGCUCCGCCAGCAUCUCACUGGCAAUUCCAAAGCCGUGGUGGGCUUCUGGAAUGAGCAUGAGCCCUGACGUCAUGGGCAUCCCCGUCCUUUCCGGGGAAUGGUGAUGAGAAGAGCAACCUCCUAGGGUUGUUGUGAGUAUUAAAUGAGCCAAAUUAGCCUGGGGCAGGGCUGGGCACAGAGGAGGUGUUCCGCAAACAUUUGUUGAAAGUUUGAUAGGUCAGUCCAUCCCCAUCCGUGUCACUUGUCUGAUGCCUCUUGUUUAUUUUCCCACAGCUCUCCGACAGCCCCUGUCCACGGGGCUCUCCUGCACAGCCACGCUUCUCCAAAGGCCUGUCUCCACUUGCUGUCUUCCUUCCUCACCUCCAAUUUCCUCUUCAACCCACUGCUUCCUGUCUUCUCUACUCCGUCGAGCGGCUUUCACUAAGCAGGUAAUCCCAUGGCCUGCCCCGCCCCUGUGAGUCCCCGGCCCUGCUCACCCCGCGUCACCCCAGGUCUCCAGUUGGUUUGGGAGCUGCCACCCAGGCCUUCGGCUUUUCCCAUCACUGCUCAUUCCCAUGAGCCACCUCCCUCCACCGAAAACCAGGCUUCUGGUUGACCCGGGGCCGGGUCAGCUGAAGAACUGACGGAAGAGGCAGAAGAGCCCCGGGAGGACACCGCCCUGGACCAAGCCCUCCUUCCCAACCCCGCGCCCAGCUUCUCGCCUCCGUCUGGUUUGGGACGAAGCCAUCGUCCGGAAUUCGUCGUGGGAUGGGACCUCAGACACAAGCCCCCGCACCCUCCACCUGUGAAAUCCCUCCACAGCCACGGGGACGCCCUGCUCACAUUCCCUCGGGACAGGCUGGACCCAAAGACUCUGGACCCGGCUGCCCCCUGCGAGGAGGGGUGUGUCCUCCUCCUCAGCCUCCCCUGCGGUAGCCGCCUACCCUUUGCGGAUGGACUUCAUUGAGCUGAGGGUCAGACACGUGGGCUUGACGCCUGCCCACACCUUACGCACCCUGAGACUUAGGGGACUGGCUGUGCCUUCGCCAUCCGCAUCUGUGAAAGGGGCUCUGCACCUACCUCACAGGGUUGUUGUGAGGAGCCUGUGAUGCGGUCUGAAAGUGCCCAACCUGGGGCUUGGCACAUCCUAUUGUGCUCUCAAUAAAUAUCUUUUUUUUGCCUUAACAAACACA